AUACUCCCUAGUGACCGAUAGUGAACCAGUACCGUGAGGGAAAGGUGAAAAGCACCCCGGAAGGGGAGUGAAAUAGAUCCUGAAACCGUGUGCCUACAACAAGUUAGAGCCCGUUAAUGGGUGAUAGCGUGCCUUUUGUAGAAUGAACCGGCGAGUUACGAUAGCAUGCGAGGUUAAGUUGAAGAGACGGAGCCGCAGCGAAAGCGAGUCUGAAUAGGGCGAAUGAGUAUGUUGUCGUAGACCCGAAACCAUGUGAUCUACCCAUGUCCAGGUUGAAGGUGCGGUAAAACGCACUGGAGGACCGAACCCACGUACGUUGAAAAGUGCGGGGAUGAGGUGUGGGUAGCGGAGAAAUUCCAAACGAACUUGGAGAUAGCUGGUUCUCUCCGAAAUAGCUUUAGGGCUAGCCUCGGAAUUGAGAAUGAUGGAGGUAGAGCACUGUUUGGACUAGGGGCCCAUCUCGGGUUACCGAAUUCAGAUAAACUCCGAAUGCCAUUCAUUCAUAUCCGGGAGUCAGACUGUGAGUGAUAAGAUCCAUAGUCGAAAGGGAAACAGCCCAGACCACCAGCUAAGGUCCCCAAAUAACUAUUAAGUGGAAAAGGAUGUGGGGUUGCACAGACAACUAGGAUGUUGGCUUAGAAGCAGCCACCAUUUAAAGAGUGCGUAAUAGCUCACUAGUCGAGUGACCCUGCGCCGAAAAUGUACCGGGGCUAAAUAGUUUACCGAAGCUGUGGAGUGCACCAUCAGGUGCAUUGGUAGGAGAGCGU
rnacentral:rRNA from 1 species